rnacentral:misc_RNA from 1 species
GUGUUUUUGCUAGAUUUCAUCACCAGGAUAUAGAUUGGUAGAUUAUAGUAUUUCUUUUUGUUAGUUUUUGCCUUUUGAAAACGCGCCGCUUUUAGUUUCUUUGGGUUUGUUUGCUGAAAUGUUUGCUUGCUUGGUUUGGUAUUAGUUGCUUCUGAAGUGUGAAUUUAUAGUUUCAAAUGGUAAUAUCUUUACCUCGUAAUCAUAUAUGAGUUAAUUGAAAUGGAAGAAUGUAAACCUCUG